CCCUUAGAUGUUCUGGGCUGCACGCGCGCUACACUGAAGCUAUCAACACGUUUUCCCUCCCUGAGAAGGGCGGGUAACCUUUUGAAUCAGCUUCGUGGUAGGGAUCGGGGCUUGCGAUUGUUCCCCGUGAACCAGGAAUUCCUAGUAGACGCGAGUCAUAAGCUCGCAUCGAUUAAGUCCCUGCCCUUUGUACACACCGCCCGUCGCUACUACCGAUUGAACGUUUUAGUGAGGCAUUUGGACCGACGCAUCUCAGUUUAACCGCUGGUUUGUGUUGGAAAGACUUCCAAACUUGAGCGUUUAGAGGAAGUAAAAGUCGUAACA
rnacentral:rRNA from 1 species